rnacentral:rRNA from 1 species
GAAUUCACUAGUGAUUCAGGCCUAACACAUGCAAGUCGAGCGGUAGAGAGAAGCUUGCUUCUCUUGAGAGCGGCGGACGGGUGAGUAAUGCCCAGGAAUCUGCCUGGUAGUGGGGGAUAACGUUCGGAAACGGACGCUAAUACCGCAUACGUCCUACGGGAGAAAGCAGGGGACCUUCGGGCCUUGCGCUAUCAGAUGAGCCUAGGUCGGAUUAGCUAGUUGGUGAGGUAAUGGCUCACCAAGGCGACGAUCCGUAACUGGUCUGAGAGGAAGAUCAGUCACACUGGAAUUGAGACACGGUCCAGACUCCUACGGGAGGCAGCAGUGGGGAAUAUUGGACAAUGGGCGAAAGCCUGAUCCAGCCAAGGCGCGUGUGUGAAGAAGGUCUUCGGAUGUAAAUCAAAUGGUUUUGGGAGGAAGGGUUGUAGAUUAAUACUCU